rnacentral:rRNA from 1 species
UACAGAGGUCUCAAGCGUUGUUCGGAUUCAUUGGGCGUAAAGGGUGCGUAGGUGGCGGGGCAAGUCUGGUGUGAAAUCCCGGGGCUCAACCCUGGAACUGCACUGGAUACUGCUUUGCUAGAGUACUGGAGAGGGAACUGGAAUUUACGGUGUAGCAGUGAAAUGCGUAGAUAUCGUAAGGAAGACCAGUGGCGAAGGCGAGUUCCUGGUCCAGCACCGACGUUCAGGCACGAAAGCGUGGGGAGCAAACAGG